UAGCCGUAAACGAUACUCGCUAGGUGUCGGCCACGGUGCGACCGUUGUCGGUACCGUAGGGAAGCCGUGAAGCGAGCCACCUGGGAAGUACGGCCGCAAGGCUGAAACUUAAAGGAAUUGGCGGGGGAGCACCACAACGGGUGGAGCUUGCGGUUUAAUUGGAUUCAACGCCGGAAAUCUUACCGGGACCGACAGCAACAUGAAGGCCAGGCUGAAGACUUUGCCGGAUUAGCUGAGAGGAGGUGCAUGGCGUAGUCGUGU
rnacentral:rRNA from 1 species